rnacentral:misc_RNA from 1 species
GCAACUUUUACCUGACGUUCCACUUCAUCUGCAGUCAUUGCACCACCAGAUCUAGCUAGGUGACCAAGAACUUUAGCAAGGACCAAGAUUUCAGGAUCACGCUUUGUUUCAAAAGCAACGCGCAUGUAGUUGGAGAAUUUUGCCACUUUUGAUGCAUUUUCGCUGAUGGUGACAUCUAUUAGCUCGUCAAUAGCCCUCAAUGCUCCCAGGUUUUCAGAAACUUCAUUACUAUCAAGAGAUGUGGUAACGCGUUCAUAUAGAUGAUCCAUAAAACGAGCAAAAGCUUCUCCACUAAGAUCACGAGCU